rnacentral:lncRNA from 1 species
UUCGGCGCAGUCUAAUCGGUCCGGUAUGGCCGGGAUGUGAGCUGACACAUGUGGUCCUCACUCAUCUCGGCACUGACGUGCUGACUGCUCCAGGCGGAUGUUUCCGCUUGGGCUGGCCGGGAGGCGGCUCCAGAAUGAACCGUGGAGCGCCGUGUUCCGGCUGCGCCGAGCUCCUCUCCCUGCUCCUCAGCCCCAUCUCUCCGCAGCUGCUGCGGAUGACUCUUUGUGGUGACGGGCUGGACCGCGCAGGGCAGGACGCCAGCAGGAGGCCGGGUUUGAGUGCUCGCAAGCAGCGCGGCAGGGGGCAAGGAUAGGAAAUGUACCAGACGAGAAGCUGCAGAACAGUGCCAGCAAAUUCAGAUUCCCUGGACAAUGCUGAGUGCCCGGUAUGUAGCUGGCAUGUCCCAGGUGCCUUCACAUCAGUGCUUUUACCUAAGCCGCAAAACAAUCCUGUGGCCCAGGUGUCCCUAGACUCCUUUUACAGAUAAGGGAACUGAGACUCUGAGAGGUUACUUGAGAUCAAAUGGCUGUUAAGAGAUGAGCAAGACUUUCAAUGCAGAUCUCACUAGUUCCAAAAUCUGUGCACCUUCAAAUAACAGGGCUGCCCGCCUUUGCCACGGUGCAGCUGAGUGCCUGAGUGGGUGAGGGACGGGGAUGUUAAGACAAAUUUCUUAGAGCAGAAAAAUCUUCUUUUCUUUUUGUUUUUGUUUGCUGAGGAAGAUUCGCCCUGAGCUAACAUCUGCUGCCAAUCUUCCUCUUUUUGUACUUGAGCUGCCACCAGAGCAUGGCCGCUGAUAGUGGUGUGGGUCCACGCCCAGAAACCAAACCUGGGCCGCCGAAGAGGAGCUCACCAAACUUAACCACUAGGCCACUGGGGCCAGCCCAGAGAAGAAUAUCUUAAUUGAGCCCUUACUCAGUAGCAGAAAGAACAUUGGACUGGCAAUGAGAAAUUUUUCUAGACCCAGCUCUGCCUUUGAAUGAGCCAUAUAGCCCCGCCAUGAGAUAUUUUCCUCCCUGGGUCUCAGUUCCCCAUCUGUAGCACUAUGUGGAGAAGCUGGACAAAGCUAUCUCGGAACACCACCCACAUUCAUGCUUCUCUCUCUCCUUACUUCACAGAGGCUGCGCCUGGACGCAGGGUGCACGGUUCAGCUCUGACCCUGGAUCGCAGAGCUUAACCCUGGUGUCUCUAUCAGAACCUUAAAAAGACAGAGCAGUCCUAAUAAAUCUCAGAUAGUUGAGCUAUAUGGGUUCA